GCGGGUGUAGCUCAAUGGUAGAGUAGAAGCUUCCCAAGCUUAAGACGGGGGUUCGAUUCCCCUCACCCGCUCCA
rnacentral:tRNA from 2 species